AUACGUAGGUGGCAAGCGUUAUCCGGAAUUACUGGGCGUAAAGCGCACGCAGGCGGCCAGUCAAGUCUGACGUGAAAGCUCCUGGCUUAACUGGGAGAGGUCGUUGGAAACUGAUUGGCUUGAGGCAAUGAGAGGGACACGGAAUUCCCGGUGUAGUGGUGGAAUGCGUAGAUAUCGGGAGGAACACCAGUGGCGAAAGCGGUGUCCUGGCAUUGACCUGACGCUCAUGUGCGAAAGCGUGGGGAGCGAACGGAAUUAGAAACCCCUGUAGUCC
rnacentral:rRNA from 1 species